CAGUAGCCGCGGGAAUACAGAGGCCUCAAGCGUUGUUCGGAUUCAUUGGGCGUAAAGGGUGCGUAGGUGGCUUGGUAAGUUGAAGGUGAAAUCUCGGGGCUUAACCCCGAAACUGCCUUCAAUACUGCUAGGCUCGAGGACUGUAGAGGAGAAUGGAAUUCACGGUGUAGCAGUGAAAUGCGUAGAUAUCGUGAGGAAGACCAGUGGCGAAGGCGAUUCUCUGGGCAGUUCCUGACACUGAGGCACGAAGGCCAGGGGAGCAAACGGGAUUAGAUACCCGCGUAGUCCCUGUCUCUUAUAC
rnacentral:rRNA from 1 species